GACGAACGCUGGCGGCGUGCCUAAUACAUGCAAGUGGGACGCAAGGCAACACACUGUGCUUGCACACCGUGUUUUCUUGCGUCGCGAACGGAUGAGUAACGCGUAGGUAACCUGCCUAUUAGCGUUGGAUAACUAUUGGCUACGAUAGCUAAUAACGCAUAAUAUUAAUUAUUGCAUGUUAAUUGAUUGAAUGCUGCAAGCGCAUCACUAGUCGAUGGACCUGCGUUGUAUUAGAUAGUUGGUAAGGUAAGAGCUUACCAAUGCGACGAUACAUAGCCGACCUGAGAGGGUGAUCGGCCACACUGGGACUGAGACACGGCCCAGACUCCUACGGGAGGCAGCAGUAGGGAAUCUUCGGCAAUGGACGAAAGUCUGACCGAGCAACGCCGCGGGAGUGAAGAAGGUUUUCGGAUCGUAAAGCUCUGUUGUAAGUCAAGAACGUGUGUGAGAGUGGAAAGUUCACACAGUGACGGUAGCUUACCAGAAAGGGACGGCUAACUACGUG
rnacentral:rRNA from 1 species